ensembl:lncRNA
AUAUACAAAAUAAAAAAAUAUAUAUAUAUUUUUCAUUAUUAUUAUUGAUGACUUUUGGAUUAUUAAACUUAACCAAGGCUAAAAGUGACGGGAUAUCCUUCAAAUUAAUCUUGUUUGUACAGUAGAUCAAACAGGAUGCCUCCUCCACACGCUGUUACUUAUUUAACGGCGUCCAAAGUCUCUCCGACGGACGGUUGCAGAUCUGUCGUGUUUUUUGUGGCUCCGUGGAGGAUUAGCAGUCCUUUUAUUUCAUCUCAUCCACGGGGAAUGCCCCACUGCUAUUUCCUCACUACACUUUUAGAUUGGGCCCAGUUUGCUGAUGUGAACGCGCGGACCAUCAGUAUCCGGUUCCUCAGCGCUAUCGAUCCGCAGCUUUGCAAUUAUAGAGGCCUGGCGAGGUGGUCGUCUCGGGCUGAUCGAUUCCACGGCGGUCGGGGGGAACUUGAUUGUGGAAAUGACUUCUGCUUCCUCUCUUUUACAAAACUCAAUUACAAAAAGUCCCACACCAAGGGUCAGUUUCUUUUGCCGCCAGGCUGUUCCCUCGCACGACAGCGCUUUGAGCUUAGUUCCAUCCUCUGGGAACAAGGAAGGUCUGCACAAAAGGUCACUGCAAUCCAUCCAAAGGGGCUUUAGAUGUUUCAGUCCAGAGCGAAUCAGUAGGCCUGACCCGAGUGACCUUAUCAUCACACCACUAAAAGAGAGGCAUAUGAAUUCUGAAUACAAACAGCCACAUUUCAUCUGCAACUCGUUUUAAGGACAAAAAACCAAUGACGUUUGUGUCAAUAAAAUCUUAUGACCGAUGGAGCUGUAAGGUUGUACAUAUGAGAAUACUCAAUAACUGUAAAUUGCUGUAAACAAAAGCAAUUCUUCUGACGCCCAACACCCGAGUCACAUGCUCAUGCAACUUUUAUACGUGUAAUAUUUGCAUUUAAAAUAAGUAACUUAAAAUCCUUGGCGUCGCACUCACCCUUCUUGCGUUUCUUGCGUCCCUAAAGAAAAAAGUCAAAUAUCCUCCCGGGCCUCAAAUGCACCAAACGGCGACCCUGCUCGCUGCCAGGUCACCUGACCUACGCUGUGGGCGUCACCCGGCAAGGCCGCUCCUCUUUGUCGCACCUCGCCGGCGCCCGGGUUGCCUCAUCUGUUCCAAAAAAUACGCCACGCCGCCGUCCUCUUUCCCUUUUAAUCCAACCAGCCUUUCAUUCCUCACCUUACAUCCUUUGAUCAAAUAAACGUCCUCGCUACGCUACAUCCCCCUUCCCUCGACCUUCAUCCCACAAAAUCCCCCCCCCAACCGUACGCGGUGGAGUCUCGGCGCCGUGACGGGCCUUUAAAGUCAAUUUGGGGAACGACAGGCUCUCCAAGCAGAGACUUAGCAUGCAAAGUGGAAACAAAUUAGAACAUUCGAGCCUCCCCGUUCUCGCCUGCACGCCUUUCAAUUGAAGCCAUUUAUCGGCGCUGUGAGAGACGAGCCCUCCGCCGCCUGCCGAGACGAGCGCGAUGUUGAACCCGGCGACAGCUGGCCUCGCCGAGUGAGAGACUCCAGCUAGUGGCAGGGAACCCUUCGUGUGACAUCACCUCCUGCCACUCAACACGGAUUCAAAGGGGCAGCGUCUGAUUGUUCUGGACUUCUCCAGUGAAGAUAUUUGCAUUUUGAGAACACUGACAAAGGAUUAAAAAAAGGCUCAAGGAGAGAAAUGCAUUGAAAAGGCUCGUUCCACCAACAACAAACCCAACUGCCAGAAACAGACGGAGGAAAUAUGAAGAUGUGCAAUCAGACCAAUCUCAGUGUGAUCCAUCAGGUUUGGCCUGCAGAGUGUGUGUGUGUGUGUGUGUGUGUGUGUGUGUGUGUGCACAGCCGCAAGAAUCUGCAUCCAUCUUGUUUCAAGAGGAGUUAUUUUUCAGAACAUGGUUUAUUCUCCUUUUUUAUUUCCUUUUUUUGAUGUGCAGGUGAUCAAACAUACUUGCAUAGUUUUUUUUAGUUGAUUUCACUACGCUUCAGAAGUUAACCCCUUCGUGAGCAAACGGAUCGGAUUGUGGAAUUAUGUAAUGAAGUCGAUGUGUUUACACAAUUCAAAAUGCAGGCUACGCUUGAAGUGCAAAAUACGUCAUUAAAAUGAACUGCGCACAAACUACACACUCACAUGUUUCCACUUCCUUGAUGUCUCGGUUAAUAUCCCCCUCAUAUCUCUACCUUUCAUAUGAAGCCAGAGCCGAGCUAUUUCUAGGCUUCAGUUCCUUAUUCAGAGUAAAAACAUGAGCAUGAUAUCAAUCAUCCGGGCGAGAAAUUCAACCAGCAUGUUUUCCAAAUAUACUAUUUAAUUAAAAUGGAUUCCACACGUUGAACACAGAAAUAUAUUUAUUAUUCUUGAUAAUUACCUAAUUUUGCUCACAUCUCUCCCACAAUAUGCGAUUUAUAUUAAGUGCUUUUUGAUCUGUACGGCAAUUAGGUUGAAACAGAUCAGGAUGAGGAAAGCACCUAAAAACGUAUCUUCUAGACACCGUUUCACCCUCGCUAGUGUUUAUCUGACGGUUAAUAAAUGUAUUCAUGGAAAAACCCAUUUCUCGGCUGUGAACAAUGCGCCUGAUUACUCACAGAUUGGCAGGUCGACGCGCGUUUGAGGCCGAGGAAGGUUUGUGACAUAACGUCACCUUCCCCUUCCAGACGUGACCUUCACGGAGGGGGAAGCUGGACCGUCGCACUAAUUACUGCGCAAACGCCUCAACGGGGAUAUUCAUUACGUCUUCUGCAGAGAAGGGGGGGCUAGGGGUUGUUGGGGGGGGCAGCGAGGGGGGGGGAGAUAAACAGAGGUAGUGAAGAGGUUGCAGCGUGGGUAAUAAGAGACCUCACAACUGUCACGGAGACAAACUAAUCAAAAGGGCUGACAAGUAUCUAAUAUACGCUGGUAAUUCGUUACAGCUGAGACAUCCAUCAUUGACUCCAUUAGCAUGGAAAGGGUGAUUGUGGGUAAUGUCCCCGGCGCUGGCACCAUACGAGUGUGGUUGUGCACGUUAUUACCCUAACUGUAUCACACGGGCCUUGUCCUAGAUUCCAUCUUCAUAUAUAUUUCUCCUUAAUCUGCGGUAAUGAAAUGAAACUUAAAAUGGAGGGCUCGCUGCAUUCAGAGAGAAAAAGACCAAGAUAACGUGGUGUGACCGAGACGAGGUACAAUUUAACAAGAAGAGGACAGACAACAAAGGAGAAAGUCAAAUAUAAAUGGUGGGUGAUACGAAUGCAGAGACACCAGGGGACAAAGAAAAAGAUGAUUACAGAGGGGUGGGAUUCGUUCCAGCUGCACCCAAUCGAUCCGUUCCAAUAGUCUGUGUGCAAUUGGCAUCUGUAAUUACUGAGUGAGGGGCCUUCCUGCUGCUGUGCUUUUCUAUCCGCGUCGGGUCCGUUGGGCGGACGCUAACAGUCGAAUGCGCGGACAAAGCAGAAUGAAACAACGCUGGACAGCAGCGGGGAAAGAGAAAAAAAAAGAGACACAGAAGAGGUGGAGCACCGCAAGCAACGAGUGCAGCUCAGUACUGCAAAAUAUGCUCCAAAAAAAGGGACACAGACAGCAGGAUGUAAUAAUAUCAAACCACCUUCUCCUCGUCGUGACUAAAGUCAAUGUUGGUGUUUUGGUUUUUAAUAUUAAGUAAUUAAAAAAGUUCUUCUGCAUGCAGAUUCAAUUUGAGAAAUUCUUUUCAGUCCGGCUGAAUUACCUCCAGUUACUUGUGGUGAUGCCGCUUAACGAUGAUCACGCAAAAUGAAGGGCGCUAAAACCUGCACCAGGACCCUGGCUUAUGGUCACAGAACACACUGUUAGAUGUGAACGUGUUGAGGCUUUUCUGAAACCUCGGAUGAAGCCGCGUUGAGCCACGUGUUUGUCUACGUCUCGCUACAUGUGCACCAGCUCAAGUUCAUGUUCCUUCAGAGCUGGUUGUGUUUUUCCUCGCGUCAGGACACCGACACGGCAGCACUGAGCACUGAGCGUAAGUGACAAGCAGCUGCAGUUGUAAACAGCGGCAGUGUAAUUAAUGUUCUGAGAACAACUCCAAUAAAUCUAAGUCUCAGAUACACAUAAAAAAAGAGACUAAUUCAUAACAAUUAAGUCUUAUUUGUCAUAAUUACUAUGGAGCCAGCUAUGGGAGGAAAACGCGCAUGAGGUAAUUUACUAAUUUAAUUUAACAUCUGAGAGUGUCUGGUGUGGUCUCACUCCUGGAGUUCAUCUGAAUUAUCUUCAUUUAAUGUGUCUGUUUUACCUUCUGUGGCCAUUCCAACGUACGCGCGUGCCCACCCACAUCACACAAGGUGACUACCUACCGAUUUAUUUUCACACCUUUUAGUUUUAAGUGUUGUUUGGUUUCCCUCCAAAUGAUGUCUAGCUUGCUGAAGCACGAUUAAACACAGUUUGACCUUCAUGUACUGUGAUUGUACUGCUAUUGCAGGCGGAUGGGGAUGAGACCACUGUGCAUCCGGUCGGACUAAAAAAAAAGUUAUAGUAGCAAUUAUAUUUUCUUAAAAUGUAUUAUAUGGUUGACUUGUGUCAGAUUUGCAACAUGGUUUGUGUUCAACAUGUAUUCUAAAUGAAUCCGUGUGCCUCUAACUCCCAUUUCACAUGGUGUUUUACAUCAAGUUCAUCCGUCAUGGUUUUACACGUCAUGCGUGCAGUAGAUUCCCGCGGUUUUGAAAAAUGGCAAAAAUACUCAAUGAGUAAUUAAGGCUGAGUCAUCAAUCACCUGCAUGCAUGAGCAGGUAUUUCAGAAUGUUGGUGUUGCUGUUGUGGGCUCAUAUUCUUUUGUCUCAGCUCACACGUUAAGCUUGCAAAGGGCCCAUGUGCAUGUCGGCAUGUUGGAGUGUUGCCGGUGCAGAGCUCACUCUUAAAAUAUUGAAUGAGUGCUAUUCUGCACACCUACAUGGGAAGAUAACAAGGCUUUAGGGGAGUAUCAGGGAAACCGCUGAUGCACGAGGUCUGCACAAGAUAUUCAGUUUCACAUGUUGCAUUUUGGCGUGCCUGCUUGCAAAAACCCAUUUAUCAUAUCCUGCAUUUCUGUAGCAUCAAACUAAAAUACACAGGAUUUACAGCCUGGUUUUGCAGUAAACAGGUUUUGUCAGAUCAGCUUUUUUUUUGUCCAAUCGGAGGAAAAGAAACUACAAUCACGCACGCAUCUCCUGAGCCCGGGAUUUAUGUCGAUGACAUCUUUUUGCUUAUUUCACAUCGCUUGACUUUAAAAUCCACUGUAGAGUUAUGGAUAACGGCCCUGCUUAGCCUCUUGACCCAUGUGCAGUCAUCCAGCAGGAGAGAGUGCAGCCGAAAGCCAGAUCGGGGGACUGGGGGGGGGGGGGGAUACAGGCGGAUCAUUGCAUUGCCUGCAGCACUCGACUGCUUUAUGAGCUGCAGGCCGGCUCCUGGCCGCGGAGAGAAUGCACCUGCCCCGAUUCUUUCAACAUAGGCACCUGAAUUAUAUUGCAGAGGCUCUGGCUCGCCCCACUCUGAGUUAUUUUAUUGCUUUGGUUUCAAAGCGAAGGGAGAAACGCUAAUAGUCUGCAAAAUAAGCCAAACAAACAAAUGCAGCAAAAGCUAAAUACUAAUAACUAAUAACGAAACCAACAUGACAACAGAACACAAGGUGGGAACAACAAUAAGACAAGUGAAUCCGAACGUAGUUCCGAUGCUGUGGCUGAUUUAUAAGUCCAUUACGAAAGGCUGUGUUUGGCAUCCAUCUUUGUUGCUCUGAUAUGCACGAGCGGAUGCUCGGCUAGCCGUGCGCCCUCAAUCAGAGCUCGCUGCUGUCGCUCCGUCCACGGAGAGACGUAAAACACUCGAAGGAUGUUCGAGGAACAAAGAGGAUUUGAACCAAAUGCAUCAAAGUGGUUGAAGAUGGUGGUGCUGCAUUAGUUUGUGGCCUGAUAGAGCUUAUAAAUCAAGCGUUAAAUAAUUCAAUUAGAUGUGUUCGGCAGCUGUACUAAAGUUGUAUCAAAAGAAAAAACGAAGGAAAGCUGAGGGAAUAUGAAGCGGGAAACACUGACAUAAAACUGUUGGGAAGAUUCCAUGAGGACCCAUUAUUUUCCUGUAAGAGGAAACUAAUGGCCAAGUGUUCAUUUACUAAUGGACCCUGCUCACACAAAAGCAGAGCGCAGUGGCCAGUCGGCCCCAUCUGAAGAUGAACCAGAUCCCAACGGCGAGCCUCCACUCAUAACCCGGGCCUGUUUGAUUCCAACGCCACGAAGCAGAGCCUCCCUGGGUGGAUCGAACUACCGGUCCUGGUCCCGAGCUCGCACCAAACACAAGAUGCAUGCAAGACGCGCUUCCCUAUUCACACGCAAAUAGUUUGCCGCGUGAUUGAACAGUAAGGCGAUUGCACGCAUGAACAUGUCACCAUAUUGCAUGUCGGCCAAUGCUAACGGAGCACUGACUGCACAAAAUGACAGCGUAUCCGUGUAAAAUAACUGGAGGAGUGUGCGUCUCCUCCGAGGCACGAGUUGCCUUGUCAGCCAGGCAAGGUGGUCCGCUGGUACGGUGGGGGUCUCCCGAGGCCUGGUGAACACUGACGGGCCGGCACCUCCAGAUGGAAGUGACAUCCAACAGCCCUCGCUCCAUUUGAUUGCUCCCCCAGCUCAUCUCUCUCUCUCCUCACGUGGUUUAGUCCACACAACGUGGAUCGCCUUGGUGUUGCUUAAUGGAGACGGUUUGGCGAGAUUGUCAGCGCUUCCCUACACCUCCUCCUCUCAUACAACUCCCUUUUAUUCCAAAAAAUACAGCAUUUUACUUCCCUUCCAGUGGCAUUGCUGCACUUCACACCCGGGGGAGCGCAUAUCAAGCCUCGCCUCCCGAUCGAUCUGUGAUAAACACAUUCUGUUUCUUCUCAAGCACAAAGUGCCACAAUGACACCCUUCAGAGCAAAAAUAAUUAGAGUUAGAGUUUACCAUCCACAUACGAGAUGUUAUUAAAGUUGCUGUUUUGCUUGCAAGAGCAUAACACACAAAAAAACGAUGCUCAUGUUGAUGCCGGUCCCAGUUACUCAUCUUUUAUUCUUCAUUUCAGCCGACACGAAGGGGCUCCGCGUUAAUUACCAAGCAUGUGUAUUUAAAGGUUGGCCAAGAAGAGGGAGCCCUCCAUCCUCAAAGCCGACUGGAACCUUGGAGUCAGAUCAAACGCUCGCGGCUCGCAGACGGUGGAAACACGGCCGUCGCUCGCCAGCAUGGCAGCGUUUUCAGAUGCUCGCGUAGAAUGCGCCCGCCAUGUUUGUGUGCUCGCUCAGCCGGGUACGACUGUUUGACAGCUCGCUGAGUAUCCUCGGCCGAUCUUCCGAGAUUUAAAAAUGCACUUUCAUCAGGAAGAGAGAGAGAGAGAGACUCUGGCGUGUUCUGUGCACACGAUCCCCAACGUCCUGUCUGCCUUCGGUGGGUUUGGGGAGCAGGAGGGCUGCGCGGCCCUCUUCCAAAGUCUGCGUCCACAAAGCGUUUUGAUCCCAGUCCACGGAUGUGGGGCUUCGCGUGUUGGCCGUGAGCAUCAACGUACACGUGUCCCCCUGACACUUUCAAAUCAGGAACACGCACAAACCAGCGACACGCAAAACAGCUGCUGCUUUUAAAUACGUGGUGACGGGAUUACCGGCAACACUUCAAAAGCCACUUGCAAUUAGUUUACAAGGUGCGUGACGCAAACAAUACUAUUUGCACACGGCGGAUUAGCUGCUGUGGCUGUUUACACCCGGGUGUAUUAGUGUGGCAGAGACAAGCAACCAUGUUUGUGUAGCUAACAAUGCGGUUUGCACCCUGGUGCUGCGAGCGGUGCAUAUUGUUCCCAAACCACAGCAGGUCGUUUUCUAGCCAACCAAACUGAGAAUAAUAAUUAUAAAAACGAAUUCAAGUGUCUAUAAUUUAAUCGGCCUCCGGCGGUAAAAGAGAGAUGGAACCAGAGAUGAUAGACGUUGACGUACGAAGACGUAUAAAACACAUGAAUAUUUCCUCCAGCGGUGCAACAGCCGCUGUAGCUCUUCACAUAUAAUAAUACGCCUUGUUUGCCGCCGACUGAUUCAACGCGGCCGCAGGGUGACCCUGCUGAGAUUGCUUUUUACCUCCCUUUCACGUCUUCGGGGACUUCAUGGUGGUAAUGCCGCGCGGAAAGCGUAAUGCGAGGACCAGAGCGAGGGAGAGAGAGGAGUGGCGUCGCCUCCCUCGCGGCGCUGAUUUCGAACCGAGGCCGGCUGUGAGAGGAAGAGUUCGCCCACCUGAUGUGGAUUGAAGACCUUUUUUGUUCCACUUCCGUCACCCUCUCUUUUGUCCCUCUUUGCGUUAUUGCUCAGUCCCGCUCUCUUUUUGUUCUGUUUUGUUCCGGCCGGCCUCUCCUGAAAGAACGCCCACCCCAUGAGCUUGAAUGAUGUGUGCCCUCAUCUACAGAAAUAAUUAGAAACACACUCCUAAUUUGGAGAAAUGCUGCAGCGUGAGCCAGGCGGAUCUUUUGCUGUUGUCCACACGGGGAGAGGGGGGGGAGUGAAUAAGAAAUGUUUGAGAUGACAUCUUUAGCAUUUCACUGGCUGGAUUUAAUCUUUAGCCCCAAACGUUGCUCUCCCCUUCACUGGCUGUGCGUCAGACGGAGGAAAGAAGAGCGUGAACAGCUGCGAGCGGCUUAAGUGACUGACACGGGGAGAGUGCUGCAGAGCGCUAACACUUUGAGGGCGAUAUUGAGAAUGUGGGAUGUGUGUGAUGAAAGCUAAAUUGAAGGCGGCGGGAGUAUUGUAGAAGGAAAAAACGACUGAGGAAGAUAGAGCAAGAAAUAAUUAGGCCAACUCUUUUAAAUGCACGCCUUUACUGUGUUGUCACUUGUCUCUGCUUGUGGAUGUAUUUAUAUGCUUGAGCUUGUGCCUCCUUGUUUUUGUGCUUGUAUGCGCAUGCAUAGCCAAGUAAGCCUGCACAUGAUUAACGAUGAAUGCAAUCUGUUUUUACCGGGUAAAGUCGCUUAAAUAUAAUACUCUGGAAGAUAAAUGAGCUAUUGUCUCAUUUGUGUGCAUGACAGGCAACUUAAAAUAUGGAUUAAGGCUUUAAGAGGAAUAUACAGUCAGAUUAGGCUUUAUUGUCCACACACAAAGGCAAAUGAGGUAAUACAGAUUAUAUUUCAAACAAUAUAAAAUAAGAGUUUUAUUUCAUAAGCUUGUGCAAGAUUUUGGUUCCCUUUUGUGCAUAAUUCAUAUUCUGUCCAGAAGAAAUAAAUGAUUAGGUUCAUGCGUCACCACUGCCAGACAGCACCCAUCUGUGCUCCGACGGGCAGCGUUGCAUUGGUGAGUGUCGUGUCCGUGUAGGCUGCUGUGUCUGUAUUUGUGCAAGAGGGAGAAAGCAAGGGACAGCAGGAGGGAACAUACUGCCAGUGAGCAUGCACAGCUUGAGCAUACAUAUACAUAAAUAUAUAUAUUUUUUUUACAGGCUCCCCAUAACAGGGACGACAGUGUGGAUGCUGCUGGGUGUUAAGGCGUGUCAUUAAAAGUUUCACAGGCGCACUGGAUAGCUGUCAGAGCCCGUGCCAAUUAGUGCCACUUUAGGUGUCAGUCUGGUAGGCAGAAGAAAGGCGAGGAAGCCGAGCGGGAGCUGAGAGGAGAACCCCGCCGGCUGAGCCUUCCUGCUCGGCUGAGCGUCCUACAAAGCGCCAGGCCCGGUUUCCCGCCGAGAGAAGCCGGAGCCUCUGUCUUUCGUCCGCAUGACAAAUUCCAUUUUUCAUUCACGCUGUCUUCCACCUGGUAAGCAACCGGUGUCAUCGAAGCAACUUUCGCCGGAUCGAAAACAUUUUAAUUCUCCAGAGCUGCCCUUUUGAUGUAGUGUCCCAUAUUAGCUUUGACAACCUCUUUCAGUUUCCUUGCUCUUGUAAAGGCCCCCUGUGGAGUCGUUGACCUCUGGUUGUGCUGUCGAGUGAAGUUUCGAUGGCGCCUCACUAUUAUGCGCACGCAUGCACUUUACAAGUCUUGGGGCGACGUAAAACUACAUUUUUACAACAGUGGAAAGGGUGCAGAGCGCUAAUAAAGGAAGAGGAAGAACGGUAACCUAUGAAAUGUCCAGGAAAAGGUUUUUUGUACCUUUUUAUGGGAAACUAAAUGUAUUUUGGAGAUAAAAAAAAGAAACUAGUGUGAUGAAAACUUAAAUGAAAACACAUGGUACCUUUUUAAUCCGUCUUAAUCUUUUAAAAGGAAAGAUGGGUCACAUCACAGAGGGGAUUAGUUAUGAAGCGAGAGCAUUAGUUAACUUUUACAGUAAGAAAAUGUUCCUAUAAAAUCAAUUCAGGACACCACAAAACCAAACCCUGAGCAAGGUCAUUUAAGACCAAUAAAAACAUCUUCAUCCCUUUUGUUGACAUGAGGGCAUUGACAUUUAAUGCAAAAUCAAUUCGCAGCCAAACACACAGAGGGAUUCCCCAGCUAUAAAAAGCUCGGCACAAAUACACAAGUUCUUCUGCAAGAUUAAUUCACAGCGACGGAAGAAGAUGGAAGAAGAUGAAGCAGAAUUAGCGCAGGCGAGAAAAGAGAAACGGUGGAGUUGACCGCCGGUCAGGGAUUGGGAUUGAGAGCCGCCCAUCGUUGAACAAGAAGCACAAACACACACACACCGAGCGCUGAUUCUGCUGCCGUGCGAGAUAAUUCCACAGCGCUCAUUAAACGCAGCGUGUGCUGUUGAAUGCACGAGUAGUAAACUUCCUCUGGACAUGCUGCAGGACUGAAGCACCAGCGGGGUCACUCGCGCUUUGCAGGGCAAACAUCAACCUGAGGGCGACCCUGAGUUUAGCAAGCGUACAUUACCUUCUGUUAAACGUUUUGGUUAUGAAUAGUGAGAGUAAAGUCAUAGACUCCCAGUCGCUAGUUUCAGGUUCACCAGGUUGUCCGGACAUUGUGACUAAUGGUCAAAAGUAUCUUCUGCCUGUAGCAAACCGACAGUAUAUGGAUCUAAAAUAUCACUGAAUGUGACCUGCAGUCAUUACAGAUCAUCUUGUACAGGAUUCCCGUGGUCACACCGAGCAGCACCUGAGGAGAAAUUCCAUAUUUUCAUAUAAAUCAGGCUUGCGAUGAAUAAUAUAUGUGCAUCUCUCUAUUUAGCCAUCAUCAAUAGAUGUGUUUUGUCUCUUUAUUCUAUAUUGAAUAAAUCUUCGACUUUCUAUGAGCUCAGUCAGUCACGUCACAACCCAGGACCUCUGUUAAAUACCCGGAUGACACUGAAUAAUGCAUAAACACAAGCGCAUUAGCAUAAAUACGGCUGAAAGUAAUUAACUCUGGGCUGUUCAACUUGGAAUCCUGCGUUUUGAAAAGGCAAGUGCCCUGUUCAUUAUUUGUCAAUUUGAAAAUUACCAGCGCAUAAACAUGAAAUGGAAAUGCUCAACAUCCUUCAUCCGGCUGUAAUGGAGUUAGUUUGUCAUUCGAUGCCGUUGCAUUAGACACAAUGGGAUCGAGCUACUGCCUGUAAUAAGGCAGGCUGACCAGGGGACGGGAGGAAUAGUUUGACAUUUUAAGGGGAAUAUAACACUUGACCGGCGCUCGAAUGAGGAGAUCAAAUCCACUCAAGACUGUAAAUGUGAAGAUGAAGACAGCAGGCGGCUUUGUGUAACUGUAUAAAAAAGCACCACCAGCUUAAUCGCUGAUUAAAGUGUUUCUUUAAUUAAAUGGAACUGCAGGAUGUCAGGUUUUAAAAGUUAUUAUUCUUGGCUGAGGGGCUUUAUGUCACGGUGUGGUUUUAUUUCCUGUCUUAUUUUGUAGUUUUCUGCUUCUUGUCUCCCCGGGUAACUUCACUUCCUGCCUGGUCCUGUCAUCCCCUGUAAUUGUCUGAUUGUUUCCACCUGUGUCCAAUCACCUGCACCUCCCUAGUGUAUUUAAGCCGUGUGUCUCUUGUGUCACUUCAUUGUCUAUUGUCCCGGGUGUUCCUUGUCGUUUGUCCUGGAUGUUUCUUGGUCCCUGCCCCGGUUCCUGUGUGCGUUUUUGCCCCUUUGCUUUUGCCUUUUGACUAUUAAAGUCUUUUGUUUUCUAAAAAGUCUGCGUUUGAGUCCUGCCUUCCCACGCAUCCCCUGACACUUUAAGGACGUUCUUUGCUCCAGACCACGAAAAAGUCCAGAAGUCCUUUUAAAUAUUAGUUAAUUCAGGCCUUUUUCAAGCAUAUUUCACAAAAUGUUCAACUAUUCAUUUAAAUCCAGGACCGGCUGCGUCUCCACAGACUCGGAGAGGGAGGAAUAAUCUUCAUAGUUGCAUCGCAACGUAGAGAUACAUCGACACCAGGGACACGAACCAAUUAAAUGAAAACAGGUUGACGGUGUUAUUGGAGAAGUUUGCCGAGGGCUUUUUUAGAGGGUCCCACUAAAGGAGGUCCCCCUCCUGCUGAUGUGAAGCUUUGGUCCAGAUCACGGACGGCGGUGGAAAAAAGGUCGAGAGCAAUUAAAAUGAAUGUGUACAUU